rnacentral:rRNA from 1 species
GUGGGGAAUAUUGGACAAUGGGCGCAAGCCUGAUCCAGCCAUGCCGCGUGAGUGAUGAAGGCCCUAGGGUUGUAAAGCUCUUUCACCGGUGAAGAUAAUGACGGUAACCGGAGAAGAAGCCCCGGCUAACUUCGUGCCAGCAGCCGCGGUAAUACGAAGGGGGCUAGCGUUGUUCGGAAUUACUGGGCGUAAAGCGCACGUAGGCGGGUAUUUAAGUCAGGGGUGAAAUCCCGGAGCUCAACUCCGGAACUGCCUUUGAUACUGGGUACCUAGAGUAUGGAAGAGGUAAGUGGAAUUCCGAGUGUAGAGGUGAAAUUCGUAGAUAUUCGGAGGAACACCAGUGGCGAAGGCGGCUUACUGGUCCAUUACUGACGCUGAGGUGCGAAAGCGUGGGGAGCAAACAGGAUUAGAAACCCUGGUAGUCC